rnacentral:rRNA from 1 species
GAUUAACGCUGGCGGCGUGCCUAAUGCAUGCAAGUCGAACGUGGCCCCUUCGGGGGACAACGUGGCGGACGGGUGAGGAACACGUGGGGAACCUGCCCAUCGGUGGGGGGUAGCCCGCGGAAACGCGGGGUAAUUCCGCAUACGCUCGCUUGAGGGUAGCUCAGGUGAGGAAAGGAUUUAUUCGCCGAUGGAGGGGCCUGCGUCCGAUUAGCUGGUUGGUGGGGUAACGGCCUACCAAGGCGGUGAUCGGUAGCUGGUCUGAGAGGACGGCCAGCCACAGGGGGACUGAGACACGGCCCCCACUCCUACGGGAGGCAGCAGCAAGGAGUUUUCCGCAAUGGGCGAAAGCCUGACGGAGCAACGCCGCGUGGGGGAUGACGCCCUUCGGGGUGUAAACCCCUUUCAGCAGGGACGAAGCGAGAGUGACGGUACCUGCAGAAGAAGCACCGGCCGACUACGUGCCAGCCGCCGCAGUAACAC